AGUGAACGCUGGCGGUAGGCCUAACACAUGCAAGUCGAACGGCAGCACAGUAAGAGCUUGCUCUUACGGGUGGCGAGUGGAGGACGGGUGAGGAAAACCUCGGAAUCUACUUUUUCGUGGGGGAUAACGUAGGGAAACUUACGCUAAUACCGCAUACGACCUACGGGUGAAAGCAGGGGAUCUUCGGACCUUGCGCGAUUGAAUGCCCCUAUGUCGGAUUCGCUAGUUGGCGGGGUAAAGGCCCACCAAGGCGACGAUCCGUAGCUGGUCUGCGAGCAUGAUCAGCCACACUGGAACUGAGACACGGACCAGACUCCUACGGGAGGCAGCAGGGGGGAAUAUUGGACAAUGGGCGCAAGCCUGGUCCAGCCAUACCGCGUGGGUGAAGAAGGCCUUCGGGUUGUAAAGCCCUGUUGUUGGGAAAGAACAGCAGCAGGUUAAUACCCCGCGGUUCUGACGGUACCCAAAGAAUAAGCACCGGCUAACUUCGUG
rnacentral:rRNA from 1 species